ensembl:lncRNA
CAUGGGUUCAGGGUGGCUACGCUCUAAGGUGCUCUGCACGUGCGGACCGUGAACUUGACUUGGGGGGAGGAGACCAGCAGCCACCUCUGGAGGGGAUCUUCCCAAAUCAGAGGUUGAAUCUGCGUCUCCUCACCUCCCGCAUUAGUGGACAGAUUCAGCGCCUAGCAACAUGGUAUUAAGGGCCCCGGGUGAUUCUGAGGCCACCAAAGUCUGAGAAUCAUAGUCCUAAAGAAAGGCCAGACUGAUGCUGGGUCUUCCUUUCUCUGGCUUUUCUGGCCCUGCAUCCUGAACCACACGGCCAGAAUGUGUGUGCCACAGGCUCGAAGCAAAACCACAUCGCACAAGGGAAACAGGAAGUGCAUGAGAAGGCGGACAAAUAGAGAAGUCAGCUGAAGGCCAAGGACAUGCAGAAGAGUUUUCAAGCUGAGAUUGGUGGUGCUUGUUUAAAGCUGAAAGGCAACCAACAGGGACCUAGAAUCGCACACAGGAAACUCUACUCAAUAUUCUGAAAUGACCUACAUGGGAAAAGACUCUGAGAAAGAAUGGAUAUGUGCAUAACUGAUUCACUUUACACCUGAAACACAGCACUGUACAUCAACCAAACUAAAAAAUAAAAAUUACAUUUACAAAAUAAAACUGGGGGAAUCUC